rnacentral:tRNA from 1 species
UAGUUCAGAUGGCUAGAGCGCUUGCAUGGGGUGCAAGAGGUCGUGGGUUCAAGUCCCACA